rnacentral:lncRNA from 1 species
AUGCAGUCACCUUUUUCGAGAUAAGCUGAGAGGGUCUUGAUGGUCUGGUCGACGGGUGCACCAGCUUUGACGAGCAUGAUUAUGACACGUGGUUUUUGAAUGGAGUUGACGAAGGACUCGGGGUCGUGGAAGCCGUAGACCGGGAGGUUUCCUUCUUUCUUGGCUCGUUCGACGGUUUCGUCGACUUUGGAAGUUGUUCUGUUGUAGACGGAGAUUGGGAAGCCUUUGGAAGCAAUGUUGAGAGCUAGGUUCUGUCCCAUCACAGCUAGUCCAGCUAAACCUAUUCUUGUUGGUUGAACAGCCAUUGUAUUUGUCUUCUUCUCUUCUUCUUCUCUCUGCUGUUAAAAAAAAAUCAAUGUUGAGAGCUAGGUUCUGUCCCAUCACAGCUAGUCCAGCUAGACCUAUUCUUGUUGGUUGAACAGCCAUUGUAUCUAUCCCACUUCUUCUUCUCUCUUGCUGUUAUAAAAACCUGAGCCGCAACCUUGAGGAGAAUGUCUUCGAUGUUCUUGUACGCUUCAAAGGACCCUCCAGGCAUCAGAGAUGGGCCGUUACGAGCGCCUUCUUCGCCGCCUGAGACUCCCAUUCCUAGGUAGAGGAAACCGUUCUCAGCCACAGCUUUUUCUCUCCUCUCGGUGUUCUCGUACCACUCGUUGCCACCGUCGACGAUGCAGUCACCUUUUUCGAGAUAAGCUGAGAGGGUCUUGAUGGUCUGGUCGACGGGUGCACCAGCUUUGACGAGCAUGAUUAUGACACGUGGUUUUUGAAUGGAGUUGACGAAGGACUCGGGGUCGUGGAAGCCGUAGACCGGGAGGUUUCCUUCUUUCUUGGCUCGUUCGACGGUUUCGUCGACUUUGGAAGUUGUUCUGUUGUAGACGGAGAUUGGGAAGCCUUUGGAAGCAAUGUUGAGAGCUAGGUUCUGUCCCAUCACAGCUAGUCCAGCUAAACCUAUUCUUGUUGGUUGAACAGCCAUUGUAUUUGUCUUCUUCUCUUCUUCUUCUCUCUGCUGUUAAAAAAAAAUGAAACUCACAGAUCUCAAAUCUAGAACAAAGAAGACACCUUAAUAGAUAAUUAAACCAAUCGAUUCAACCAGGGAUCAAAAAUAUCUAACAGAUAAUGGAUACAAGCAAUUACAAAAUCAAUCAACACGAAGAAGACUAUUACAGAUCCAGAAUAAAAAAUUACGACUAAGCUCGAAGAACAGAUUACUAUAUAUAACCAACAUAGUGAUCUACAAAAAUAUUACAAUGAGAAGAUAAAGGGAGAGUGAUCGGAGAAACUAACCUGUUUUAUCCCGAAAUUGAUUUGAGUUUUUACAAGGAGAGAUCU